rnacentral:rRNA from 1 species
AAAAACAUAACCAGAUGUCAAUAUAUUUGGCGCUUUYUGCUCAAUGACAUGAUUAAAUAGCCGCAGUACCCUGACUGUGCAAAGGUAGCAUAAUCAGUUGGCUCAUAAUUGGAGUCUGGAAUGAAAGGAUGUACGGGAAAUUACUGUAUCAAGUGUUUCUAAUGAAAUUGGGUUUCAAGUGCAAAUGCUUGUAGUUAAUUGUUAGACGAGAAGACCCUAGAAAUUUGUAUAUUCGUUUUGUUGGGGCAACAUAGUAAGAGUUAACCUACAAUAGUGACAAGAAAUUAAUUAGUAAGAAUAAAUUACUCUAGGGAUAACAGCAUAAUUUAUAAAAGUUUGUGACCUCGAUGUUGGAUUUGGGACUUAUAGUUUAGAAGACUCUUAAUAUUGCUCUGUUCGAGCAUAACAC